rnacentral:rRNA from 1 species
AUUGAACGCUGGCGGCAGGCUUAACACAUGCAAGUCGAACGAGCGGCGGACGGGUGAGUAAUGUCUGAGAAACUGCCUGAUGUAGGGGGCUAACUACUGGAAACGGUAGAUAAUACCGCAUACCAUCAGAUGUGCCCAGAUGGGAUUAGCUAGUAGGUGGGGUAAUGGCUCACCGAGGCGACGCUCCCUAGCUGGUCUGAGAGGAUGACCAGCCACACUGGAACUGAGACACGGGCCAGACUCCUACGGGAGGCAGCAGUGGGGAAUAUUGCACAAUGGGCGCAAGCCUGAUGCAGCCAUGCCGCGUGUGUGAAGAAGGCCUUCGGGUUGUAAAGCACUUUCAGCGAGGAGGCGGUACUCGCAGAAGAAGCACCGGCUAACUCCGUGCCAGCAGCCGCGGUAAUAC